rnacentral:rRNA from 1 species
CGCAUCUGUGCAUGCAGCAUAUCAAUAAGCGGAGGAAAAGAAACUAACAAGGAUUCCCCUAGUAACGGCGAGUGAAGCGGGAAGAGCUCAAAUUUGAAAUCUUAAAGGGUUUCCCUUUACGAAUUGUAGUUUAAAGAAGUGUUUUCUGUUGAGGUUUUGGUAACAGUUCUUUGGAAUAGGACAUCAUAGAGGGUGAGAAUCCCGUAUUUGACCUUUACUUUCAACUUUGUGAUACACUUUCAAAGAGUCGGAUUGUUUGGGAAUGCAGUCCAAAAUGGGUGGUAAAUUUCAUCUAAAGCUAAAUAUUGGCGAGAGACCGAUAGCGAACAAGUACCGUGAGGGAAAGAUGAAAAGAACUUUGAAAAGAGAGUUAAACAGUACGUGAAAUUGUCAAAAGGGAAGCGUUUGACACCAGUGUUGUUUUUCUGAAAAUCAAUUAAAGAACUGUUUAUGCUAAGUUGUUUAGACUUUAUCAGCUAACUGUUUAGUUUUGAGCUUUUCUUUAAUGCACUUUUCAGUUAACAAGUCAACAUCAAUUUCUUUUGCUGUAAAAAAGCUUGAGGAAGGUGGCUUGAGAUUCGUCUUAAGUGUUUAUAGCCUCUUGCCUAUGCAGUCGGAGAGAUUGAGGUCUGCAGCGUAGAUCCUUCGGGGCUAAAUGCAUUUGUGCUAAGUUAUAACAUUUUAUAGACAACUUGUUGACUAUGAUUUGUCUUGUAGCUUACUCGCUUAUGUUAUUUUACCUACGCUUAGGAUGUUGAACGCGCACAGAGUCUC